CGUUAUGUCGUGAGUGUUAAAAGAGUGUCUCAGCCAGGGGCCACGCUAGCAUAGACAGCUUUCGAACACGGCAGAGGUUAGGCUAAACAUGUUUCAUUGUUUGGAGAAUUAAGGAUUUUUUAAAAAAUAUAUUUAACCAGUGGCUAAGUCUGUUUAAAAAUAAAAAAAGGAAAACAAAGGAAAUGAAAUCUGCGGUUUUGUAAAUUGAAAAAGUUUUGGCGAAACCAUCAUCAUCGGUAAUUAUAUCUUUAACGAAAGAAAACUAAUAUCAGGCUAUUUCUCAACGUAACCAAAGUCCACCUGAACUAUUUAAAAAAAAAAAUUGAAACCAUCUGCAAAGAGAACAAGCCGACCUACACGAACGUGCACCUACAUAAACGACGACAACCCAGGACCUCUAAACCUUCGACCUUGACCUUGGUGAGCACGAUGCACGCGCGGCUAAGUCCCUGCGGUGUGGGCUACCUUCUUGUCCUUGUCAUCACCGCCCAUUCAGUGCUAGUCAGCACCUCGUCAAUACCUGCAGCCCAGGAACCGGAAACUGCCCUGCCGCCAUUUUCCGACGACCAAUCACUGCUAGGGGAGGUCGAACAGUGCGUUUCAGGUCACAGCAUUUGCUCGUCAAUUUACACGACUUCCGGUGAAGGAGACGGAGCGGAAGUGACAGCGGUUGUACCCCUUUGCUCAUGCGCAGAUGGACUGCAUUGUCCAAGGGAGCCUGUGGAAAAUUUGACUUUAC